GACGAACGCUGGCGGCGUGCUUAACACAUGCAAGUCGAACGGAAAGGCCUGCUUUCCCUUGUGGAUUGCGGGUACUCGAGUGGCGAACGGGUGAGUAACACGUGAGUGAUCUGCCCCCAACUUGGGUAUAAGCCUGGGAAACUGGGUCUAAUUCCCGAUAGGACUGUAGGGUGGUGCCUGUGGUGGAAAACGAUUUUCUAGUGGUUGGGGAUGAGCUCGCGGCCUAUCAGCUUGUUGGUGGGGUAAUGGCCUACCAAGGCGGCGACGGGUAGCCGGCCUGAGAGGGUGGGCGGCCACAUUGGGACUGAGAUACGGCCCAGACUCCUACGGGAGGCAGCAGUGGGGAAUAAUGCACAAGGGGCGGAAGCCUGAUGCAGCGACGCCGCGUGGGGGAUGACGGGCUGCGGGUUGUAAACUCCUUUCGACCGCGAGGAAGCCACCUGGUUGGAAGGGUGGUGACGGUAGUGGUAGAAGAAGCACCGGCUAACUACGUG
rnacentral:rRNA from 1 species